rfam:Cyphellophora europaea CBS 101466 unplaced genomic scaffold supercont1.3, whole genome shotgun sequence.
GGCAGCGUGGCCUAAUGGUAAGGCGUUGCUUUCCGGUGGCAAAGAUUGUGGGUUCGAGUCCCAUCGCUGUCG